CGGACGGGUGAGUAACGCGUGAGAAUCUGGCUUCAGGUCUGGGACAACCACUGGAAACGGCGGCUAAUACCGGAUGUGCCGAAAGGUGAAAGGUUAACUGCCUGAAGAUGAGCUCGCGUCUGAUUAGCUAGUUGGAAGUGUAAUGGACUCCCAAGGCGACGAUCAGUAGCUGGUCUGAGAGGACGAUCAGCCACACUGGGACUGAGACACGGCCCAGACUCCUACGGGAGGCAGCAGUGGGGAAUUUUCCGCAACGGGCGAAAGCCUGACGGAGCAAUACCGCGUGAGGGAGGAAGGCUCUUGGGUCGUAAACCUCUUUUCUCAGGGAAGAACACAAUGACGGUACCUGAGGAAUAAGCAUCGGCUAACUCCGUGCCAGCAGCCGCGGUAAUACGGAGGAUGCAAGCGUUAUCCGGAAUGAUUGGGCGUAAAGCGUCCGCAGGUGGCAAUGUAAGUCUGCUGUUAAAGAGUCUAGCUCAACUAGAUAAGAGCAGUGGAAACUACAUAGCUAGAGUACGUUCGGGGCAGAGGGAAUUCCUGGUGUAGCGGUGAAAUGCGUAGAGAUCAGGAAGAACACCAGUGGCGAAGGCGCUCUGCUAGGCCGUAACUGACACUGAGGGACGAAAGCUAGGGGAGCGAAUGGGAUUAGAUACCCCAGUAGUC
rnacentral:rRNA from 1 species